AUCCAGCUGACGAGUCCCGAAUAGGACGAAACGCGCUUCAAAAUGGAU
rnacentral:hammerhead_ribozyme from 1 species